GACGAACGCUGGCGGCGUGCCUAAUACAUGCAAGUAGAACGCUGAAGGAGGAGCUUGCUCUUCUGGAUGAGUUGCGAACGGGUGAGUAACGCGUAGGUAACCUGCCUGGUAGCGGGGGAUAACUAUUGGAAACGAUAGCUAAUACCGCAUAAGAGUAGAUGUUGCAUGACAUUUGCUUAAAAGGUGCAAUUGCAUCACUACCAGAUGGACCUGCGUUGUAUUAGCUAGUUGGUGGGGUAACGGCUCACCAAGGCGACGAUACAUAGCCGACCUGAGAGGGUGAUCGGCCACACUGGGACUGAGACACGGCCCAGACUCCUACGGGAGGCAGCAGUAGGGAAUCUUCGGCAAUGGACGGAAGUCUGACCGAGCAACGCCGCGUGAGUGAAGAAGGUUUUCGGAUCGUAAAGCUCUGUUGUAAGAGAAGAACGAGUGUGAGAGUGGAAAGUUCACACUGUGACGGUAUCAUACCAGAAAGGGACGGCUAACUACGUGCCAGCAGCCGCGGUAAUACGUAGGUCCCGAGCGUUGUCCGGAUUUAUUGGGCGUAAAGCGAGCGCAGGCGGUUAGAUAAGUCUGAAGUUAAAGGCUGUGGCUUAACCAUAGUACGCUUUGGAAACUGUUUAACUUGAGUGCAAGAGGGGAGAGUGGAAUUCCAUGUGUAGCGGUGAAAUGCGUAGAUAUAUGGAGGAACACCGGUGGCGAAAGCGGCUCUCUGGCUUGUAACUGACGCUGAGGCUCGAAAGCGUGGGGAGCAAACAGG
rnacentral:rRNA from 1 species